rnacentral:rRNA from 1 species
AGAGUUUGAUCAUGGCUCAGGACGAACGCUGGCGGCGUGCUUAACACAUGCAAGUCGAACGGUGAUGCCCCUUCGGGGGUGGAUCAGUGGCGAACGGGUGAGUAACACGUGAGCAACCUGCCCUUGGCUCUGGGAUAACUCCGGGAAACCGGGGCUAAUACUGGAUAUGACAUGUCCGGGCAUCCGGGUGUGUGGAAAGUUUUUCGGCUGGGGAUGGGCUCGCGGCCUAUCAGCUUGUUGGUGGGGUAGUGGCCUACCAAGGCGAUGACGGGUAGCCGGCCUGAGAGGGCGACCGGCCACACUGGGACUGAGACACGGCCCAGACUCCUACGGGAGGCAGCAGUGGGGAAUAUUGCGCAAUGGGCGAAAGCCUGACGCAGCGACGCCGCGUGGGGGAUGAAGGCCUUCGGGUUGUAAACCUCUUUCAGCAGGGAAGAAGCGUGAGUGACGGUACCUGCAGAAGAAGCACCGGCUAACUACGUGCCAGCAGCCGCGGUAAUACGUAGGGUGCAAGCGUUGUCCGGAAUUAUUGGGCGUAAAGAGCUCGUAGGCGGUUUGUCGCGUCUGCUGUGAAAAUUCAGGGCUUAACCCUGGGCUUGCAGUGGGUACGGGCAGACUAGAGUGCGGUAGGGGAGACUGGAAUUCCUGGUGUAGCGGUGAAAUGCGCAGAUAUCAGGAGGAACACCGAUGGCGAAGGCAGGUCUCUGGGCCGUAACUGACGCUGAGGAGCGAAAGCGUGGGGAGCAAACAGGAUUAGAUACCCUAGUAGUCC